rnacentral:lncRNA from 1 species
GAGAGAGAGAGAGAGAACACAAGAGAAACCAUUGUGACAUGGGAACUGAAUGGUCUCUUUAUCUUUCUAGAUCUACUGAACUUUGACUUCAGUUUAAGACAAGGUGAAUCAUUACAAGGUAAAAAAAGCUAACUGUGAUGGGAGAAACUUCACCAUGGAUCAGCAUCCACUGUACUUAAAGUGGAUUUUUUUUAAUAGGAGACUUUUAAAUUCCAUUAAAACAAUAAGUUAUAUACAUUACUGUACAUUAUCAGAAAAAAGUUUAAAAUCAAACUCAAAUAACCUCAAGAAAAUGCUCAGUCUUUAAUACCAAGUCAUUGAAUAAUAGCCCCAAGAUUGUCAUUGCUCCAGAUACAUGGCUCUUUUCUAGCUGACAGAGGGAUAUUUAUGAUCCCCAUUAAAGAUAUAUGAGUAAAUGAUACAGAUGUCUUGAAUGCCAAUUAAUACACAUGAAAAUAACCAAUAAUAUAUCUUCUUUUCAUAAAGGAUUAUAAUUUGACAGUUUUGAAGUAAUUUUAUAUAAUUCUUCAAAUUAUGCAAAUACUACUUUCAUUUUUACUUCUUUUGUUUAUCUCUUUUGCUUGGUACACCCGCACAUGCAUUCACCAACUCACAAAGGUAAUUACUAUCACUUAAAUUUAUAUGCAAACAAAGUCAACUAUAAAUGUGUGUGUGUGUGUGUGUGUGACUCAUAUGUAUUCUAAUUAUCACAGUCUCCAGUAUUUUUUUACCUAUUAAGGUAAAUACGAGAGAAGCAGCAAAUUUUUUUCUAUUUUUCCCCAUGUUUAUAAUAAAACUUUUCUCCUAAAGGUGCAAAGUUUGGUAACCUGAAGAUAAACAUUCUAUAUUUUUGGAGCGUACAUUAUAACUUAUAUAAACUGUGAAAAAUAAGCUUAGUGCAAAUGAGAAGAAGCAUCUGAAA